GACGAACGCUGGCGGCGUGGAUUAGGCAUGCAAGUCGAACGGUAUCAUCCUUUCGGGGGUGAGAGAGUGGCGAACUGGUGAGUAACACGUAGGUUAUCUACCCUCAAGACGGGGACAACCCAGGGAAACUUGGGCUAAUACCGGAUGUGAGCAACUUUUAGUUGUUUGAAAGGUGGCGUAAGCUGUCGCUUGGGGAUGAGCCUGCGUCCUAUUAGUUAGUUGGUGAGGUAACGGCUCACCUAGGCAAUGAUAGGUAGGCGGCCUUAACGGGUGGUCGCCCACACUGGGAUUGAGAUACGGCCCAGACUCCUACGGGAGGCAGCAGUCGAGAAUAGUCUACAAUGGUCGGAAGACUGAUAGUGCGACGCCGCGUGAACGAUGAAUCCCUUCGGGGUGUAAAGUUCUUUUAUAUGUGAGCAGUGCUUCUUAUAUUAACGUAUGGGGAAGAGAUAUUAGCAUAUGAAUAAGCAACGGCUAACUCCGUGCCCAGCAGCCGCGGUAAACCG
rnacentral:rRNA from 1 species